GAGAGGCAGCGAUAAAGCUGAGGGAGGGAUGCUAGAUCUAACCUUAUUGACUUUGUCCACAAAGAAAGACAGAAAGUUCUCACAGUCUGCAACAGAGUGGAUGGAGGCUGUAGGAGAAGCAGGAGAGACGAUGCUGCUGAUGGACCUUGGGGUUCCCUUUGCUCUGGGACACCAGGUUGUAAAAAUAGCAAACCCUGGCGACUCUGACUGCAGAGUUAAAGGAUGUCAGAAGAUCCUUUAGGUUUAGCAGAUGGACGUGCAGAUGGGUUUUCUUCCACAAGCGCUCAAUUUUUCUGCAUUGGCGCUUCAGGCUACGAAGGUUGCCAUUAAACCAGGGAGUAGGGUUCACUGCAGGAACUGAUCUGGUUCUGACAGGACAGAUGUUGUCCAGAAUGGAGAGGUAGUGCUCGUUAAACUGAGAAGUCAAGGAAUCUGGGUUGUUAUCAGAAGAACAGGGUGGAUCAAAAGCAGCAGAAAAAUUUCUAGCUGUGCUCUCAUUGAGAAAACGAGAACUAACCAGACGGCGAGCAGGAGGUGGGGACGCAGAAACUGACAAGUUAAAGAAAAUGCAACGGUGAUCUGAAAUAUAAAUGUCCUCAGGACAAACACUGUCAGCAUUUAGACCCAGGGUAAAAACAAGGUCUAGAGUGGUGCCCCCUGGUGUGUGUGGGGUCAGAAACAUGCUGGGUAAAGCUGAAGGAGUCCAUAAGGCUGGAGAAAUUCAUGGCAAAGUGGUCCGAGGGAUCAUCAACGUUGAUGUUAAAGUCACCAACAAUGAUGCCAACAAUAAAAGCAAAAUCCUUUUAUUCUUAUUCUGGUGCUUUUUAUUGACGAUCGAUGAAUUGAAAAAGCUAACUGCUAGCCUUUAUUGCUGUAAAGCUGGUAGAGACCUCCCACUAGUGUACCCACCUGAACCACAGAAAUGUUAAGUGUAGUUUCUUGUCAGCAGAGGGCAAGUGAGCGCUGUCCAGUGUGAAGUUGUUGAAGAACCACUGGAACCAGUUUGAGAGCAAAAAAAAAAAGCGUUAAAAAUGUAAAAGAUAAAGGGUUAAAAUCUCUUUAGUGUUUCUUCAAAUAAGCUGCAUGCACAAGUCAACCUAAAUCAAGGUGGCUGACAAACCUAAAUUAACAUAACAAACUUAAAAAGUGGUCUGUCUUAGUCAGUUUAUAGACUGAGCUAAACUUUAAAGUGUAGCUAAUCACAGCAUGCUAACCCCGGCUUCACACUGAAAGCAUCAGCGGCGCGGAACGGCGCUGUUUCAAAUAGAAUCUGUUAUAUUCUUUGGAGUGUCUCAAACCUGCAGCGGUGUGACAAUUUCCAGGCAUGUCCCAGAAGCGGCACGCUGCUGAAGAUAGGAUCAGGCUCUAUUUUUCCAUGAGCCGCUGCUGGGACACAUCAAUUUCCACAGUUAACAUAGGACUAGACAGGAAAUCAGAAUAUAAAUAAAAGUACUGCAGCAAUGCAAUUUCAUGUAUAUUAUGAAGCUUAUGUGUGACCCAACGGCUCAUUUACUUACUGCAUUGUUCCAGACCAGAAGUGCAGCAGUGUGUUUUCAUGGCUUUAUUACUGGCAGUGGAGAGGAACAACAUCAUGUAUGACAUCAAACAGUGAUGACAACGUGAUUUCCUUCUUUUUGGUUUAAUGGCAGAUUGCAUAAACAAAUCAUGACCUGAAGUCUUGAGGGAUUUUGAGAUCUCACGAGUCCAGUGAAGAGCACAGCGAGGAAGCCUCGCUGCUGCCAAGACUCUCCCAUUGUGAAAAGAACCGCUUUGAAGUUCACGAGUAAACCAUUCCACUGCCGUUUCGCGCCGCUGAUGCUUCCAGUGUGAAACCGGGGUGGGCAAGGCAAGGCAGGGCAGCUUUAUUUAUACAGCACAUUUCAUACACAGAGGCAAUUCAAUGUGCUUUCCAUUAGCAAGAAGAACAUUAAAAUCAAUGUGACAGAAAAUACAAUUUAAAAAUUAGAAAGAAACAAAGUUAAAGGGUGAGCAAAUACGAUGCAGAAGGUGCUGCAUAAGAACAUUUAUUCAAAGACUGAUGAAAACAUGAAUGUUUUCUAUUUUGAUUUCAAUGUUUCUAGAGUUGGGGCACAUUUGAGGUUGGUGAAGCUGAUUUCGUCUGUGUGCUGCAUAGUAGCUAAAAGCAGCUUCACCCUGUUUGGUUCUGACCUGGGUUCUAAAAGCUUACUGCCUCCUAAGGAUCUCAGUGGCCUGCUGGGCUUAUAUACUUGACGGAUAUCUGACAUGUAUUCUGGCCCCAUGCCGUUGAGUGAUUUAUAAACUAGUAGAAGCACUUUGAAAUCAACUCUGUAGUUUACUGGUAACCAGCGUAGGGAUUUAAGAACAGGAGUGAUGUGCUCGGUUCUCUUGGUUCUUGUGAAGACUCUAGUGGCGGCAUUCUGAAUAAGCUGCAGUUGCUUCCCAGCUUUUUUGGGAAGACAAGUCAAAAGACCAUUGCAAUAGUCCAGCCUGCUGUAGAUGAAUGAGUUUCUCUAGGUCUUGUCUGGACAUGAGACCUCUGAGUUGUGCUAUUUGAUGCAGAUGAUAAAAUGCUGAUCUAGUUACAGCCAUAAUGUAACCAGUGAAGCUCAGGUCUGAAUCAGUUAUGACACCGCAAUUUCUGACCUGGGUCUUUGUCUUUAUUCCUCUUCAUUCCUCAAAGAAAGUGUGUGCAUGGUUUUGCAAAACUGCAAGUGAUUGCAUUAUAACUUUUCACCAAAGAAUCUAAACUCCUUAAAUUUUAACGCUGUGGUGUGAAAAGCAGUGAAGAAAAUGCAUUCCUCCGAGGUUUUUAAUUUUGGGGUUUUAGCUAAUGCUAGCUAGUUGCUGCUGCAUUCUUUCCACAUCCUGCAAAAAUAAACUCAAAUUACAUUGUUUUGCUAUAUUUUGUUGUGUUGUCUUUGUCACAGUAGACAUUUAAACCUUCAAGUGCAGAAAAGCACAGGUAUAACGUUGGCUGCAUUCCAAUUCUGUCACUGGGUUGUUCUGUAGAACGGCUAACGAGCAGAACUUUUUCUAAAAGGAAUCUAUCCCUUGCCAAUUUUCCGUACUCUCCGAAGUGAAAAUAUCAGAUAUAAGAAAUUCUUAGAUCAUGCUCAACUCCAUCAUUCCUCAUUUUUCUUUGGGGGAAUUCCACAAAAUAAGUCUUGAAAGCAACAGAGUUUUCCAUUCAAUUUGAUGUGAAACAUUUUCCAUGGCUUUUUUAUUUUCACCUUUUGCGUUGCGCUCUUUGUCCUCAUACCCUGAGCCACUCCAGCCUUCAGCACAAGAACGAUCUCCUUUUAAUACCACUGAUCUCUAAGAGCAUCUAUUUGCACUCACGGCAUUGCUGUUUGCAUUAACAUAAAUUGUCCUGCAAUACCAUUUCAAUCCUAUCCAUUUUCCCUUUUGGAGCAUCACAUUCGAAUUCAGAUGAAACUCAUUCUCUAACCUUCUCCUGUAAUGUGUAGAGCUCUAAACCACAUUUAUCUUCUAUAUUGUUGUUGCUUAUGCCUCUAAAGGAUGAGCAGGUGAUCCCUGCAUUUAGAUUCCCUGCAGCAUGUGCUGAGAAGCAGCUUUAUUCCUCAAAAUAAGACCUGCUCUUCUUAAGAGAGACACUAUUACAUAUAUUUUUCUCUAAAUGCCCCGAUUUGAUGCAGACCUGUCUCUAUUUAUUUGCAGUAGCCGAUCUAACAGCAGCGCAGCCUGGGAGGCAGCCAGCCCGUCCCGGAGAGGGCCUGAGUUGCACAUGAAUGUCAUCACAGCCCGUCCUGCAGAGCUCAGCUCAGUCACAAGCCAAAUGAUCAAGACUGAUCACAACGACAGAUUUUUAUGUGCUUAAAUUACAGCAGCUAUAUUCAAGAUCAAGAUUUACAAUUCUCCAAUAACGUUCCAGUUUUACCUUGCUGUAUGAGGUCACGGAGACAGCAGCCUCAGCAGAGAGACCCAGACUUCCCUCUCCCCAGGCACCUGGGCCAGCUCCUCUGGGGGAAACCCAAGAUGUUCCCUGGCCAGCCGAGAAACACAGUCCCUCCAGCAUGUCCUGGGUCUUCUAUUAGGUCUCCUCCCCAUUGGAGGUGCCUGGAAAAUCUCAAUAGUGGGCUGCCCUGCGAUGGACUGGCAACCUGCCUGGGGUGCACACUGCUUUCAUGCGUGGAGACAGCUGGAGAUAGGCACCAGCCCCCCCACAACCCUGCGAGGAUAAGCGGGUAAAAAUAAUGGAUGGAUGGAUGGAUGGAUGGGUGUUUUAGUGGGCUAAGCACUGUAUCUGCAAAAAACUACAAAGAUGCCGUCAUGUUGUUUGUUGCUCUGAUUGGUCCUAGCACUGUUCAAUUGUGUGCAGAGACAACUGUAGAUUCGCCCCUAAGAUUAGAUUCUUUCAAUGGGUUGUGGCCAGACCAUAUAUUUAUGUAGACAGGAUGGCUUGCUAGGCGAGAUGUAUUGCUUUUUAUGAAUCCAUUUGAGCUCCCAAAGUAAAUGGGGGCUUGUCUGGGAUUCACACUCAAAACUUUUUGAACCUUAUGAAAGACAAUCUUGUAGAUGGGUUUGCACACUAAUGUUUAGCCAUCACUCACUUGACUGUGACUAAUCUGAGAGACACAAUUGUGGGAUAAUAAGCAAUAUGCAAUGCCAUAUUGCAUAUGCAAUGUAAUAUGCAAUAUGGUCACGUACAAAACAAGAUUAACAAAUGGCCAGGUCACAUGGGGCAAAAAUGCAGGUGCAUACAUUUUGCAUGAGUCCUUUGUAAGUUUUCCUGUGUCACAAAUUGCUUUAAUGCUGGCUGAAUAUGUUAGUAAGUUAAACCAUUUCCAAAGUUAUCUCACAUGUACUUUCUGAGCCACGCAAGCUAAGUUUGCAAUGGAUCACAGACAUUCAUGAUGGCUCACAAAUGGUUUUUUUACAUGUCCAAAUUACUUGUGCCAGAAGGAGAACCUGCAACUCACAUGAGUAAAAUGAAAACAAUCCUCACACACGUUUGGGAGAUUUCCGGAUACUUCUUCACCAAAACGGUUUGCAAUUUGUCAGUUGCACCAACCAUUAUUCCAACUUUAAAUUUGCCUGCCAACUUGUUUACCCACCAUUUCAUAGUACACUGUCCCAACCACUUUUCCUGUUGCAUCCAGGCAUCCAGCUGGGCACUCGUACCUGUUGAUUAACGCAUAAAUGUCCAUUGUUACAAAUACUGUAUACUCUGAGAUAAUUUGAGGGUGUGUGUAUGUCUCUCCAUCACUUCACCUGUUACAAGUUGUUCCUUUACAUUGAUCUCGUAGCUUGGUGUCACAGGUUACAAGUUGAGCUGAAACACAUAAACAUAGAAGCCUCAGAGAGAGUGUUCUUACAGGAAACAGCAUAUAAGAACCAGCAGCUCUGAUGCGGAUCACUGGCUUCAAAAAGGCGAUGCUGUGCAAAGCCCAGGGGAAGGUAUUGUUACAGCACUUCCAGAACCGAAGACAAACAAAUAAUUCUGCAGUGAGGUUCAGGGUGGUCAGCAAAUACUGGAGGAAAUGUCUCAUCUUGCACUCACAGGCUCCUCGCACUGCAGCGAGGAAGCCAUUUAAAAACCACAGUGAGCCCCUCUCACCCCUCCUCAGCCAGCCAAAAACAAACACACACUCAGGGGAUCCUGCUAAAAUAAAGUUCCCCUCCCUCCCCUAAAGAGCAACGUGCAAUAUUGUGUGGAGUUCAGAGACUGUCAGUACUGAUCAGAGAGAUGACAAAUAAAAGCUGUCGUACAUUCUGGCAAUCUAAGGAGAAAAAUGGGGGAAACAUGGUUCUGUCACAGUCUGUUUUCUUUCUUUUAUUAUUUUUUUAAUAAUUACCUCAUUGACACUAAAGCAGUUAGUCUGAAUUUACUUGGUUCUGACCCAGUUCUCAAAGGCAGGUUUAUCUGUACAGUACAUGUUAUACUCUCUGCCAGUCCCAUACCUAAAACCAUACUCUGCACCCCCCAAUUUAGAUGAAACUACAUGCCGAAUGAACACUUAAACGACAGCUUACACAUCUGCUGUGUGUUGACCACUUCAUUCUUCUGCAUGUCCUCUCUGGGGGGCUUGGUGGUGGCCGGGACUGGGGCAGGGAGGCUGGGAGGUUCCGGCUUGGAGGCCUGGGGCCAGGGCUUCGUACCGCGAGGGGCCUCUGGCUCAAUAAAGUUGUUUUCUUCUGUUUCCUCUUGCAGACGGUUGGAUCUGUCAUCUUCAACUAAGGAUACAAAAACAGGGAAUGACAGGCUUGUUUCACCAGGCCUUUUUUAAACCCUCUGGGUUUGUGUAGCACUAGCAUACCUUUGUAGCAAAGGUUGUCCUUGCAUCCUCCUCCAUAGCUUGGAGGGCAGGCAGAACACGGGGAUCCAUGUUUGUAAGGUGCGUGACCCCACCAGUUCCCCCUGUUAAGGCAGCAUAACAUGCAAGUUUUACAUGUAAAGACGCAAAACACAAACUACUAAUUUUCUUGAAGUGGACACACGCUCAUUAUUUUAAUCAAUCUGUUGUGGUGUCUAGUGUAAAUGAAUGCCUUUUGAGUCUAUUGCCGCUUUCAUAAGACACGCCGUGCCAGCAAAUCAGUGUAAUACUGCCACCAUGGUGUAACUCAUUAAAGCGCCGAGGCAGCAUGACGAUGUGGGAACUGUGUGACAUUUGUGCCAUCAUGCUUGGUGGUAAUGUUGCCACAAAACCAGACUUGUAAAUGAUUACGCCUUGACGCAACAUAAGGUGGUGUCAUGAUCACGUGUGGAAUUGCUGCCUAACUCCGGCCGGCAACUGUAUUAAGAAUUAAAGUAAACAUUUAUUUAGCGUUUGUUGACAGAUUCAGCUGAGAUGGUAAACUGGUCUGCUCUGGGAGCUUCUCUCCAUUAGAGCAGAAGCGCAGAGCAGUAGACAGUUCACGGGGUCUGUGGAGGACAGACACCGUUAAGACCGGCUUGUCAACAAAACUUCAAUCUCAAUAAACAGCAAGUUAUGUUCAAUCCUAAAGAAUGUCUGUAGCAACGCAGAGACCAUUCCCAUACUCCCUUUAUAACGCCACUGUGUAAUCUUUUGUAAAAAGGAUGCAAUUGCGCCAUGACGCGAUAGUACAGGAUCUGCUCGGGUGCAAGAUCGGCUCGGGGUCCUUCGACUGCAGAUGAUGUCAAAGUACGGCAAACCCACUCGGACAUUAUACACUACACAUCUAUACUGUUGGAAAGACUUUAGCAGUUUUGUUAUUAAAAUAAUGUUUCUUAAGACGUAAGUUUGUGUUUAUAAUGGUAUUUGUAAAAUAAAACACUAUAUUUUAUUCAUAAUGUUGAACUCCUCUUUGAGCACAUCCCUUGAAGGAUCAUAGGUAUUAGCAACACCUGUGAAACUGUAUUCGCAGGAAAGAAGUGUGUCCCGUUUAUUGAAGUAUUUUGUGUUUAGAGUUUUUGACGUCUUGUUCGUGCGUAGUUCAGUUACGCUCAUAGCUGCUAGCCAAAACUCUGGAGUUAAAAGUUUUCUGGCUUUACUAAAAUACCUAUCUGUACUUAUUUGAUUGAUGAUAGUUUUACUUUCUAUUAGACUCCAAAUGUAAUCAUUUGGCACGUUUCUAAUUCAUAAUUUGUAAUAAUGUAAUCGGUGAUAUUAGCAUUAGCAUUCCUAUGGGUUUUUCCAUGUAUAUUAGCAUUGCGCUAACCACUCGCUGCCAAAUUGCAGCCUUUGCGAUUAGAAAAUCUCCUUUUGUCACAUCGCAAUUUAAUUGCACAUGCAGUUAAUCGUUCAGCCCUAAUAUACAUGCAGUUCUAUGCUAAAAGUGUAUUUUCAAAGAGGUAAUGAUGGAUUUCUUUGUAAAAGUUGUCCAUCUUUCCAACAGAAAGAUUUGCCUGGACCAACGUAACCUGAUAACAACGUAACCUGAUAACAACGUAACGUGAUUACGUAAUUCCGUAAGGUUCAUGGUCAGACAGCCAAUCAACUACUUAGACGUCAUCGGUAGUCGACGGACCCCGAGCCAAUUUUGCACCCGAGCAGAUCUUGUACCGACACCGCCACUUAUGAAUGACGAAAGGCUCCCAGAUGCCAGAUCAGCAUUGCGGCAAACUGGUACUGGAAAUAAAAAGUUUUUGUGCUUCUUUUUCAGGAGGUAGAAGUUAGUUGGAGAUACAGUUUAAUGGCAGUGACACACAUGCUUACUUUGGUGAGUAAUUGCAGACAAGAUACACAGCUUUGGUCCAAAUCUGGCCCCAAACAUUCAUGUCGUAGCACAAGUUGAUGGCACAGCCAAUUCGGCUGCUGGUGGCCCAAACCAGCUGGAAAAGAAGACAAGUGUGAAUCACAAACCAUGAAUGUGACUCGUAUUAGUGAAAUUGACAAAGAAAAUCCUAUUCUUGGUGUGGUUACCUGGGUGUAAUGUGUGCAAACUGGGCCGGAGCAUCUGAACGGACAGUAGGGGUUACACUCUUGGGGGUAAGGGAAGGAGUAAUCCUUGACUUCAUCAUACCAGGCCUGAACGUGGGACGUAGGAGGGCGAUAGCUGGUGACAUCGGGAAGCAGACAUUCAACAACGUAUCAUACUACACUUUUUUAGCUGCGUGUUGGUUCGUGUAGUUUCUCGAGGUUACUCGCUGCAUUCUGCUAGCUGUAAUCCCAAAAGAAAUUAGCAAAGGAUUAUUUUGACUGGUAUUUUUAUGCAUUUCUUUAAUAAAUUUGGUUCUAUGUAGUCAACUUGGGAUAUUUAGAACACUGAAUAAAACAUAAACCCCCAUAAAAGUUGCACGGAAACAUCCAGCGGUCUCUGCUUUGUAACAAAGGCUGCUGAUCUGGGACCAGGUGUUGGCGAGUAAUCUGGCUGAAAUCAGACAUCAUCUUGAUGGUGAGGAGAAUUGAUGGGAUGUGGAAUAAAAAGUCUUUAAUGUGAAGCUCAGGUGUUUUCAUUAAGAUGAAGGGCAGAGUUUCCUCUGAUCUUCACUAAGUGGCAGCUGUGUAACAUGUCGUCCUUGAUGUUUACAGAAACAAAAGUUUUAUGAAUUAGAGUAUAAGCAUUAGAGUGUAUAGUAUGUCUUAAAUGUUUCCUGCUGGGCUGGGUGUUGGUUUUGCUACUUAUUCUGCAUUGCACCAAAUCUCUUCUGCUCCUGCAGGCAGCAGGUCCACAGGAGAUCGAGCCCAUGUUAAUGUCUUGACCUAGGCCCAUCCAGUGCUCACAAUAGUCCCUCCCGGCCACAACUCCAGUGUGCACCCAGGUUCUGUCCGAUCUGUGGGAGUAAGCUGGCAGGCCCGUGCUCCCACAGGCAGGUCUCUGCCCACUCCUCGGCUGAACGCUCCAAUUCUGUGUCCCAUGACUGUGCAGGUAGGAAAAUAAAGUGUUAGCUUUCUGGAUUCAACUGGAUGCAAAGUUGUGGUUU